UGGGUGAGUAACGACGUGGGUAACCCUGCCCUUAAGUCUGGGAUACCAUUUGGAAACAGAUGCUAAUACCGGAUAAAAAGCUACUUUCGCAUGAAAGAAGUUUAAAAAAGGCGGCGUAAGCUGUCGCUAAAGGAUGGACCUGCGAUGCAUUAGCUAGUUGGUAAGGUAACGGCUUACCAAGGCGAUGAUGCAUAGCCGAGUUGAGAGACUGAUCGGCCACAUUGGGACUGAGACACGGCCCAAACUCCUACGGGAGGCAGCAGUAGGGAAUUUUCCACAAUGGACGCAAGUCUGAUGGAGCAACGCCGCGUGAGUGAAGAAGGUUUUCGGAUCGUAAAGCUCUGUUGUUGGUGAAGAAGGAUAGAGGUAGUAACUGGCCUUUAUUUGACGGUAAUCAACCAGAAAGUCACGGCUAACUACGUGCCAGCAGCCGCGGUAAAU
rnacentral:rRNA from 1 species